CGCUCUUCUGCCCCACAGUCAACUUAAACUGUGCUGCAGACUCACUGACAAAGGUCAAAGCAAGAGUCGACUGCAACCAAGUAUUUGAUGAAGGUCUCCACUGACCUUCAGAAGAAUUUCAAAGGCACUGUUUUUAUGCUAUGCUAAGGUACGAUGUACCUACCCACAGUGCAGCCUGGAACAGGCACCAAGUUACUGUCCCACCAAAAUAGCAUUCUGAUACAGGUCAAAACCCUGUCUCAGAGCGGACUUGGAACCCCCAAAGGCCAACCCAGCAUCUCGAUGAAGUGAACCACCUCACGGCUGUAACUAAGAACCAGUUCAUCUAAUCCUUGCGGUUCCGCAAGCACGGGACAGGUCUCACUGGGCUCCCACCCUCCUGCAACUUCUCAAGGCGAAUUAGUAUGAAGGAAUCUCAGAGCAGCAAGGCCGUUCGUCGAUAGCGCAGUCUCGACCCUACUCACCAGCCGGUUGAAGGACUCCUCGGAGUGCAUCCUGGCUUGUCUUGAGCCUUUUUAAAUGAGAUGCUCAGAACGGAACGGUGACCUGGUGCUGAGAAGAAUAUCACAAUGAAACAAAGUGCCAAGAAGAGACAGCAUCCGUCGGUGAUCAGUACCAAAGAGAGAAGAGGAGGCGUGGCCAACUGUCUACUAUACAGAACACUACCCGGAAUAAAAUUUGUCUCCAUUACAAAUGAAGUGGAACAGAAGAUACAGUAAAUAUGAUCUGAAAGUCUCCCAAGACAUUGUUUGGCAUCACCUACAUAAAAUAUCCUUGUAGCGAUUGGGGGGUGGGGGCAGAGAUGCCUGAAUGAUGAACAGGGAAUCACUCAGAAAUUCAGACAUUCCUCGUCCUCGCUCCGCGCAUUGGGCAUCAUUUGGUAUCAUUCAGGGAGAAGAGAGAGAUUCACUUUCCCAAAGUGAGUACAUGAGAGGCAGUCUUCUGGGAAAGCCAGGCGGAUGGGAACUCAACCAGCAGGGAUGCUUACAGCACUUAGCCGAACUCGAACUCACAAAGUCUUCCUCUCUACUGUAUUCACAGGCAACAGGACUCUCUGCCUGGAACACCCAAAAACAAAUCAGCACAUUGUUAGAAGGAAUUAGUUCAGCAAGGCGUCCAAAUACAAGAUCAAUUUAUAAAAUCCAACCGUUUACAUCAGCAGCAAAUAAGCAGGAAGGAGACAGUGAGACACGUCUCAUACUCACAGCAUCCGGGGUUAACUAACAACUUUUCAGAACUUUAUGAAGAAGCUCUUAAAACUCUAUUAAAGGACAUUUAAAAAAAAAUAGACUGAACAGAUGAAGAACUAGGCCAUGGCCGGGGUGGCUUCACACUGUAAAAAUGUCAAGCUAAUCUCUAGACUCAGUGUUUGAUUAUAACUAAAAUUUUAAGGUGUUCAAUAAACAUAAAAUAUGUAAGGACAAAUAUAACUUUAAAUAGGACAAAUGUCUAAAAGCAAGACCAAAAGAAGGAGAUUUGCUAUACUAGAGAUUAUGUCUUUACUAUAUCAUAAUAAAAAUAAUUGGAGGCUGCUCUAGAAAUAAACAGAAAAAUGACCUAGAAGGUAGGGCUCUGAAGGAGAGCCCUGGAUAAGCAUGUCCUUGGUAUACAUAAAAGUGAUACAACAGCCAAUGAUUUAAAAAAUAUAUAUGAAUUAUAUAUAGGACAGAGUUAGUCAAACAGUCUUAUUUAAUAAUGGAAACAAAAAGGAAAAGAAAGUGAGGGAGAUGCUGGAAAUCUGCUGUAAGAAUGUAUUCCUAAUCACAACUAGAGCACUGGGCUCCUGGGGGCACAAGUGAACUUGUUAUGCUGGAGGGCCUGGGGUCAGUGACAGAGAUGAUGGAGGAAAUGCCGUAAAACAACUUCAUCUGUUCCUAUCAGGAAAUAGGACUAACAAAGAACCAUGCACAUUUGUAAAUCCUUACAAAAUUCCUCCACUGAGUGGCCACAGGUAACCUCCAAUAAAAAGAAGUGGAGAGACAGCUCAGCAGUCAAAAGUGCAUUUCUUGCAGAAGACCUGAGUUUGGUCCCUGCAUCCAAGAAAGACCAGCUUACAGCCGCCUAUAACUCUAGCUCCAUCAGAUCCAAUGCCCUCUUCUGGCCUCGGUGGGUACUGCACCAUGCAUAUACCCAAAUGCAGAUACACACUUCAAGAUACUUUUUUAAAAAGAAAAAUGUAAAGAUGUGACAAACUGAAAGAAGUUUGUGACAUGUAUAAACAUAGCUAGGAAUUAGUACCUAAAGCAACAAAAAUCAGUCGAAAAACUAACAAGAAAAACGAGGAAAGGGUAACAGUAGACAGUUGACAGUGAUGUGUCUUGGUUUCCUUCCCUGUUGCUGUGACAAAAUACUUUGACAAACACAACUUAAGAGGGAAAGGAGUUAUUUUAGCUCACAAUUCAAAGAUCCAUCAUCCCAGGGAAGUCAAGGCAACAGAGCUUGAAGCACCUGGUCACAUGACAUCCCAGUAAGGAAAUAAGAGAUGAAUGCUGGCGCUAGCUCCCUUUCUCUCUGCCUGGAGAAUGGCUCUGCCCACAAGUAGGUAGGCUCUCCCACAUCAGUUAGUGUCUUCAAGAUAGGCAUGCCCUGUAGGCAUCUCAUAGGCAUACCCAGAGACCUAGCCAAGCAAUUCAAGAUGCUAUAGGAUAGAAAAUUAACAUGGUGGCUGAAAAAGGCCAUCUUAAGAUUGGGCUGUAGGCAAGCCUGAAGAGCAUUUUUUUUAUUGAUAAUUUAUGUGGGAGGGGCCCAUAUCACCAUGGUCAGUUCCACCCCUCAGCUGGUGGCCCUGGGUUCUAUAAGAAAGCAGGCUGAGCCAAUGAUGAGGUGUGAGCCAGGAAGCA